rnacentral:rRNA from 1 species
CGUAUAAAAUUUAAUAAUUAGUUUAAUUGAAAAAUUAAAUUAAAAUGAAAACUUAGGUGGAAAUUAUAUUAAAGUUAAAAUAUAAGCAAUAUAUAUUUAUAUAACAUUGGGUAAUAUUGGAUUUAUAUGACGUGGAACUAGACUUAAGAUUUUAAUUAAUUUUAACUAAUAAUAAAAAUUUAUAAUAGUUUUGCUGCUAUAUGUUUAUUUUAAAUCCAUUCUAUACAACACCUAACAGUUAAUUUAUUGUCCAAGGAGGUUAAUAAAUUUUAUGGCGGUUUAAGAAAUCCAAAGUCUUUAAAGAAAUGAUGGAUUAAAAUAUUUAAAAU